ACGGAGGGUGCGAGCGUUGUCCGGAAUCACUGGGCGUAAAGGGCGCGUAGGCGGCCCGCGAAGCGUGUGGUGAAAGCCCGGGGCUCAACCUCGGGUCGGCCAUGCGAACUGGCGGGCUGGAGCACUGUAGAGGCAGGUAGAAUUCCGGGUGUAGCGGUGGAAUGCGUAGAGAUCCGGAAGAAUACCGGUGGCGAAGGCGGCCUGCUGGGCAGUGGCUGACGCUGAGGCGCGACAGCGUGGGGAGCAAACAGGAUUAGAUACCCUGGUAGUCCACGCCGUAAACGAUGGGCACUAGGUGCUUCGGGGAGCGACCCCGGGAGUGCCGGCGCUAACGCAUUAAGUGCCCCGCCUGGGGAGUACGGCCGCAAGGCUG
rnacentral:rRNA from 1 species